rnacentral:lncRNA from 1 species
GAAAAUCUGACUCUGAAUCAAACAUUCAAUUGAUUUUGAUUGAAUUUUAAUCAAUAUGGAUGACUUUUGGAGAGAACUACAACACAAAUUCAACAAAAAAACCCAGGGAAGUGUCAAUGGAAAGGGGUGUAUUGAGUGGUCGGGCACAAAAAAGGGAAAAUCUGGUUAUGGCAUACAGGUUGUGAAAUGGCCACAGGGGGAG